AGAGUUUGAUCCUGGCUCAGGAUGAACGCUAGCGACAGGCUUAACACAUGCAAGUCGAGGGGCAGCACAGGUAGCAAUACCGGGUGGCGACCGGCGCACGGGUGAGUAACGCGUAUGCAACUUACCUAUCAGAGGGGGAUAACCCGGCGAAAGUCGGACUAAUACCGCAUGAAGCAGGGGCCCCGCAUGGGGAUAUUUGCUAAAGAUUCAUCGCUGAUAGAUAGGCAUGCGUUCCAUUAGGCAGUUGGCGGGGUAACGGCCCACCAAACCGACGAUGGAUAGGGGUUCUGAGAGGAAGGUCCCCCACAUUGGUACUGAGACACGGACCAAACUCCUACGGGAGGCAGCAGUGAGGAAUAUUGGUCAAUGGGCGUAAGCCUGAACCAGCCAAGUCGCGUGAGGGAUGAAGGUUCUAUGGAUCGUAAACCUCUUUUAUAAGGGAAUAAAGUGCGGGACGUGUCCCGUUUUGUAUGUACCUUAUGAAUAAGGAUCGGCUAACUCCGUGCCAGCAGCCGCGGUAAUACGGAGGAUCCGAGCGUUAUCCGGAUUUAUUGGGUUUAAAGGGUGCGUAGGCGGCCUUUUAAGUCAGCGGUGAAAGUCUGUGGCUCAACCAUAGAAUUGCCGUUGAAACUGGGGGGCUUGAGUAUGUUUGAGGCAGGCGGAAUGCGUGGUGUAGCGGUGAAAUGCUUAGAUAUCACGCAGAACCCCGAUUGCGAAGGCAGCCUGCCAAGCCAUGACUGACGCUGAUGCACGAAAGCGUGGGGAUCAAACAGGAUUAGAUACCCUGGUAGUCCACGCAGUAAACGAUGAUCACUAGCUGUUUGCGAUACAGUGUAAGCGGCACAGCGAAAGCGUUAAGUGAUCCACCUGGGGAGUACGCCGGCAACGGUGAAACUCAAAGGAAUUGACGGGGGCCCGCACAAGCGGAGGAACAUGUGGUUUAAUUCGAUGAUACGCGAGGAACCUUA
rnacentral:rRNA from 1 species